ACGACACACCGCAGUGCAUUUAAACAGUGUAUGGACGUAGAUGGUUUAUUCUAGUCGAGUUUCCCAACAGGAAAAGUGAGCGUGAGUCAACAAACUAGCGGUCACACGCCGGUUUUUUUUUCUCUCUCCCUCUCUAACCGAAAACACAAGACCUUCUGUGUGUGUGUGUGUGUGAUUAUUGUUUAACAUUUCCUCAAUGUCCAUUUGGCGGGGGUGAUUGGAGUGCCUUGUGCCAGUCACAUAUCAGAGAAGAAAAAAAAGAAAACGUACACUGACGGACAGGUUUUUUUUGGCGACAAGGCGAGUGACAAGGAGCUCUUUGAAAGCCAUCAACCGCGCCCCGUGAGCAGUUAAAAACAAAAACGAACGGUGGCCAGUAGUGGCUAAUACAGGUCAAUAAGCCAGCACGUCAUCUUCAACAAUCACAAACCGUCUCGAAUUUCGAAAAGGUCAGAAAACAAAGACAACA